rnacentral:rRNA from 1 species
GUGGGGAAUAUUGGACAAUGGGCGAAAGCCUGAUCCAGCCAUGCCGCGUGUGUGAAGAAGGUCUUCGGAUUGUAAAGCACUUUAAGUUGGGAGGAAGGGCAGUAAGUUAAUACCUUGCUGUUUUGACGUUACCGACAGAAUAAGCACCGGCUAACUUCGUGCCAGCAGCCGCGGUAAUACGAAGGGUGCAAGCGUUAAUCGGAAUUACUGGGCGUAAAGCGCGCGUAGGUGGUUUUGUAAGUUGGAGGUGAAAUCCCCGGGCUCAACCUGGGAACUGCCUCCAAAACUGCAUGACUAGAGUACGGUAGAGGGUAGUGGAAUUUCAUGUGUAGCGGUGAAAUGCGUAGAUAUAGGAAGGAACACCAGUGGCGAAGGCGACUACCUGGACUGAUACUGACACUGAGGUGCGAAAGCGUGGGGAGCAAACAGGAUUAGAUACCCCGGUAGUCC